rnacentral:rRNA from 1 species
GGAUCAUUACCGAGUUUACAACUCCCAAACCCAAUGUGAACGUUACCAAACUGUUGCCUCGGCGGGAUCUCUGCCCCGGGUGCGUCGCAGCCCCGGACCAAGGCGCCCGCCGGAGGACCAACCAAAACUCUUAUUGUAUACCCCCUCGCGGGUUUUUUAUAAUCUGAGCCUUCUCGGCGCCCCUCGUGGGCGUUUCGAAAAUGAAUCAAAACUUUCAACAACGGAUCUCUUGGUUCUGGCAUCGAUGAAGAACGCAGCGAAAUGCGAUAAGUAAUGUGAAUUGCAGAAUUCAGUGAAUCAUCGAAUCUUUGAACGCACAUUGCGCCCGCCAGUAUUCUGGCGGGCAUGCCUGUCCGAGCGUCAUUUCAACCCUCGAACCCCUCCGGGGGGUCGGCGUUGGGGAUCGGCCCUCCCUCUGCGGGGGCCGUCUCCGAAAUCCAGUGGCGGUCUCGCCGCAGCCUCUCCUGCGCAGUAGUUUGCACACUCGCACCGGGAGCGCGGCGCGUCCACAGCCGUUAAACACCCAACUUUCUGAAAUGUUGACCUCGGAUCAGGUAG